AGUGAACGCUGGCGGUAGGCCUAACACAUGCAAGUCGAACGGCAGCACAGUAAGAGCUUGCUCUUACGGGUGGCGAGUGGCGGACGGGUGAGGAAUACAUCGGAAUCUACUUUUUCGUGGGGGAUAACGUAGGGAAACUUACGCUAAUACCGCAUACGACCUACGGGUGAAAGCAGGGGAUCUUCGGACCUUGCGCGAUUGAAUGAGCCAAUGUCGGAUUAGCUAGUUGGCGGGGUAAAGGCCCACCAAGGCGACGAUCCGUAGCUGGUCUGAGAGGAUGAUCAGCCACACUGGAACUGAGACACGGUCCAGACUCCUACGGGAGGCAGCAGUGGGGAAUAUUGGACAAUGGGCGCAAGCCUGAUCCAGCCAUACCGCGUAGGUGAAGAAGGCCUUCGGGUUGUAAAGCCCUUUUGUUGGGAAAGAAAAGCAGCAGGUUAAUACCCCGCUGUUCUGACGGUACCCAAAGAAUAAGCACCGGCUAACUUCGUG
rnacentral:rRNA from 1 species